GCCUUACACAUGCAAGUCGAACGGCAGNACGGGAGCAAUCCUGGUGGCGAGUGGCGAACGGGUGAGUAAUAUAUCGGAACGUGCCCGGUCGUGGGGGAUAACGUAGCGAAAGCUACGCUAAUACCGCAUACGAUCUACGGAUGAAANCGGGGGAUCGCAAGACCUCGCGCGAUUGGAGCGGCCGAUAUCAGAUUAGGUAGUUGGUGAGGUAAAGGCUCACCAAGCCGACGAUCUGUAGCUGGUCUGAGAGGACGACCAGCCACACUGGGACUGAGACACGGCCCCAGACUCCUACGGGAGGCAGCAGUGGGGAAUUUUGGACAAUGGGCGCAAGCCUGAUCCAGCAAUGCCGCGUGCAGGAUGAAGGCCUUCGGGUUGUAAACUGCUUUUGUACGGAACGAAACGGUGAGCUCUAAUACAGUUUGCUAAUGACGGUACCGUAAGAAUAAGCACCGGCUAACUACGUG
rnacentral:rRNA from 1 species